rnacentral:snoRNA from 1 species
UGUUGAAUGAUGAAAAAAAUCAAUCGGAUUCCCAUUGAUAUUUUCAUAGAUGAGAUUACAACA